GAGCACGUAGGUGGGUUUGUAAGUCAGAUGUGAAAGCCUUCUGUUCAACGGAAGAAUUGCAUCUGAAACUGCGAGUCUUGAGUGUAGGAGGGGAGAAUGGAACUUCUGGUGGAGCGGUGAAGUGCGUAGAUAUCAGAAGGAACUCCGGCGGUGAAAGCGAUUCUCUGGCCUAUUACUGACACUCAGUGUGCGAAAGCUAGGGGAGCAAACGGGAUUAGCUACCCCGGUAGUCCUAGCCGUAAACGAUGGGCACUAAGUAGAGGGGUUUU
rnacentral:rRNA from 1 species